rnacentral:rRNA from 1 species
GGUCCCGCCUGCCCAGUGACUCUUUAAACGGCCGCGGUAUCCUAACCGUGCAAAGGUAGCAUAAUCACUUGUCCCUUAAAUAGGGACUGGAAUGAACGGCUAAAUGAGGACUAAACUGUCUCUUGCGAGCUAGUCAAUGAAAUUGAUUUUCCAGUACAAAAGCUGGAAUAGACCCAUAAGACGAAAAGACCCUGUGGAGCUUAAAAACCAGAUUCAUUAAGAAUGUUUCCUCGGAUUUUCAGUUGGGGCGACUUCGGAGUACAGAAAAACCUCCGAAAAAUGUAAACUUGUAUUAAGAUCAACACACCAAAAAUAACACAUAGACCCAGCAAUUUUUACAAAUAUGUCUGACCAAUGAACCAAGUUACCCCAGGGAUAACAGCGCCAUCCCCUUUUAGAGUCCCUAUCGACAAGGGGGUUUACGACCUCGAUGUUGGAUCAGGACACCCCAAUGGUGCAGCCGCCAUUAAAGGUUCGUUUGUUCAACGAUUAAUAGUCCUA